rnacentral:lncRNA from 1 species
GUGUGUUUUGGCCGACAACGGAGGUUCAAAAGGGGAAGGAGGGGAUACUGCAGUAGGCUAAGGGGAAGGUGGAUGAUCAGAGGUGGAAGGUAGCAGAUCAAUAGGGGGAGGUGAAGCAGCAGCAGGCCUGCUGGUGUGUCGUCUGGUAUAGACUCGGAGUUCAGUUUGACCAGCAGGAGUGGCAUCAUUCUCAUUACUAACCUGUUUGAGUAAUAUCAAGUAAAUUUUCAUUGCCAAUAAAAAUUUUUUCGUGCCCACUAUAAGGUUUAGAGGAGGAGAGAAUAUCAUAAUGUGC